AGUGAACGCUGGCGGUAGGCCUAACACAUGCAAGUCGAACGGCAGCACAGUAAGAGCUUGCUCUUACGGGUGGCGAGUGGCGGACGGGUGAGGAAUACAUCGGAAUCUACUUUUUCGUGGGGGAUAACGUAGGGAAACUUACGCUAAUACCGCAUACGGCCUACGGGUGAAAGCAGGGGAUCUUCUGACCUUGCGCGAUUGAAUGAGCCGAUGUCGGAUUAGCUAGUUGGCGGGGUAAAGGCCCACCAAGGCGACGAUCCGUAGCUGGUCUGAGAGGAUGAUCAGCCACACUGGAACUGAGACACGGUCCAGACUCCUACGGGAGGCAGCAGUGGGGAAUAUUAGACAAUGGGCGCAAGCCUGAUCCAGCCAUACCGCGUGGGUGAAGAAGGCCUUCGGGUUGUAAAGCCCUUUUGUUGGGAAAGAAAAGCAGCAGGUUAAUACCCCGCUGUUCUGACGGUACCCAAAGAAUAAGCACCGGCUAACUUCGUG
rnacentral:rRNA from 1 species